ACCAAAUAAACGGGUAUGUUAUGGAUCUUAGAGGAUGGCUGCUAUUUUAUCUUCUCAUUUCAUGCCUUCUUGUACACAAGCUAGAUGAUUUUGUUAAACAGUGGGUUAUUGCACCCACUUUUCUUACCACUGCUGUGGAAGCUUGUUGAGCUUGUACAUAGUUUACUGUAAAAUGAACAAUUUAAUUUCUAAUUAUUGGGCAGUGUAACUUGCUCAACUGUGUCUAUGCUUGUGUAAGAAUGCUGCUUUUGCCCUUUACCAAUCUUUAGAUGUGUGUUGGGCAGAAUAAGGCAUCAUAACUAUAUGUUGCUCCAUUUUAUUUUUGUUAAGCGAGUUUUUUUGCCUGGCAUUUCUAGGAGAUUCACCUGUAACUAAUUGUAGCCUUGAUAAUAUUUGUUAAAAAAAAUGUGCUUGAAUUGAUAGAAUUUGUAAUUUCUUUUAAAUCAAGUUGACCACAUUAAAAACCAGAAAUAUGAAAUGAACGUGAUGGAUUUUAUCCAUACCUAUAUUUGUUCUAGGAUGUGUUUUCUGUGUAAUUAUUGUUGGUAAAUAAUAGUUGUCCAUAUCUCUGAUUGGAAAGAGGUAGAUGUACAGGGUGGUAAAUAUUUGUGUUUAGUUACCUUUGUCUAUUCUUUUUUAUCUUCGUUGUCUCGUUAUAUCUUUGCACCAUAACUUUGCAGGGUUACUGGGCAGAGCUUCAGCCGAUUGUAUUUGAUGAAGGCUUUGCAGGAAAGUUGACGUUUUUAGCUGGAAUGUGUUCAUUCUUUGGAAGAGGAUGCCUUUGCUGUUUGAAAUUGACAAAUUUUGGAGCGCGAGAGCUAUGCUUGGAUUAUUGUCAACCUUUUUGAAAGUGACUGUAGAAUGUUAGCCUAGCAUUGUUAU
rnacentral:misc_RNA from 1 species